CCUACGGGAGGCAGCAGUGGGGAAUAUUGGACAAUGGGCGAAAGCCUGAUCCAGCCAUGCCGCGUGUGUGAAGAAGGCCUUCGGGUUGUAAAGCACUUUCAGUGGGGAAGAAAGCCUUGGGGCUAAUACCCUCGAGGAAGGACAUCACCCACAGAAGAAGCACCGGCUAACUCCGUGCCAGCAGCCGCGGUAAUACGGAGGGUGCGAGCGUUAAUCGGAAUUACUGGGCGUAAAGCGCGCGUAGGCGGUCUGAUAAGCCGGUUGUGAAAGCCCCGGGCUCAACCUGGGAACGGCAUCCGGAACUGUCAGGCUAGAGUGCAGGAGAGGAAGGUAGAAUUCCCGGUGUAGCGGUGAAAUGCGUAGAGAUCGGGAGGAAUACCAGUGGCGAAGGCGGUCUUCUGGACUGACACUGACGCUGAGGUGCGAAAGCGUGGGUAGCAAACAGGAUUAGAUACCCGGGUAGUC
rnacentral:rRNA from 1 species